UGGGGAAUAUUGGACAAUGGGCGCAAGCCUGAUCCAGCCAUGCCGCGUGAGUGAUGAAGGCCUUAGGGUUGUAAAGCUCUUUCAACGGUGAAGAUAAUGACGGUAACCGUAGAAGAAGCCCCGGCUAACUUCGUGCCAGCAGCCGCGGUAAUACGAAGGGGGCUAGCGUUGUUCGGAAUUACUGGGCGUAAAGCGUACGUAGGCGGAUUAGAAAGUUAGGGGUGAAAUCCCAGGGCUCAACCCUGGAACUGCCUCUAAAACUCCUAAUCUUGAGUUCGAGAGAGGUGAGUGGAAUUCCGAGUGUAGAGGUGAAAUUCGUAGAUAUUCGGAGGAACACCAGUGGCGAAGGCGGCUCACUGGCUCGAUACUGACGCUGAGGUACGAAAGCGUGGGGAGCAAACAGG
rnacentral:rRNA from 1 species